rnacentral:lncRNA from 1 species
AAGGGUAGGGAGGGCACCUACAUUUCCUUUUAAAUGCAAAUAAUAUUGCUUCAUAUGAAUAUACAGCUUACAAAGAAUGUUCACAUACUUUAUCUAUGACACCUGAAUCUAGAAAGGGAAGGUUCAGAUGUUUGCUGCUGGAGAGGAAAAUGGACAGCCUGGGAGUGAAUGUGGAGGGUUGGGUCCUCCUGGGAGGUCAGAUGUCAUGGUGCUGGGUCUAUGUACUCUGAAGCCAUCUGAACACUGGGUCCGCCACUUACCAGCUGUGAUGCCUCAGAUGGGGAAACUGGGGCACGGAGACGUUACAAGUCUUUCGCAAGGCACACAGCUAGUGUCAGAACCAGGAUUCUAGUCCAGACCACCUGACUAUGAAAUCCAUGCUCUGAACCAUUGUAUCACAAUAAAUAAGACAACAUGUUAGAUUAUAGGGAUGAAAUGCAGAAUACUCUGGAUCCCUGCCCUCCAGGGGCCCAUGGUCUAGGGAACCUCUGAACAGGAAGAACUUGCAAUCUCAAACUCCACUCAGGAAACUGACUCUUCAUGCAAAGAACACAUACUGACUGUAUCUUGAAUUUACUUGGCCCUUCACAUAUUCUGGCCAGUUGUCCCCAAAGGAUCUCAACCAGGAGUGCUUAUCAGAACCACCUGAGGAGCUUCUGUAAAUUCACAAGCCCUGGCACCAGCCCCAACCUGAAUCACCCACAGUCUCUAUGAGUGGGGCAUCAGCAUGCAUAUAUUUUUUUAAAAGGUAAUCAG